rnacentral:misc_RNA from 1 species
GGUAAUGCUUAACUUUCAUUUUACAUGUCAUAUUGAAUUUUUCAAAAGUUUAUGUUUUAAUCACUGUUUGUUGUUGAGAUUUUGGUGAUUUUGAGAAAAAAGGGAGGGAUGGAACUGUAGCUCGUAUCCAUUUAAUAAAUUUGAUUUCUGACAAUAUAAGCUUUAUAUCAUAAAAUGGUACACCAAUUUAGUCUAUAUUAUAAACUGCUUCAAAAAAGAGAGUGUUUCAAACAGAAUUCAUUCUGUUGUUUUUAUCCUUAUUUUUGAGUGCAUAUAGAAUGUAAAGUAACCUUUAUUGAUAACCCAGAUUUGUUCUCAUUAUCACUUAUCCUGUAAAUUAGGUAUUUUACAUGUCAAUUUAAGUCGCUUAAAAAGGAAGGGAUUAUGAGUCAUAGUGAGAAGUUUUAAUAUUGGAAAUAUCAGGUCACACAGUGUUAAUUCAAAAUGUCAGGAUUGAUGUCAUAACCAGCCGUAAGUUCCUUAUUGAACUUUGAUUAAAUAUUGUCUAAAGGUUUCUGUUUGGUUUUAUGAUAGGCAUGAACCACAAUUAAAAAGUACUCCAGUCCUCCUUCUAGUGUCACUCUUGUCAUCAAACAGUGAGUUGAAUGAAAACAAACAGAAGGAAUGAAUUUUAGUUUGUACCAAUCCUUUUAACAAAUUGAAGCAAUAAAGUGCAAUACACGUACCAAUCUGUAAAUACAACAGCAAGAUAAAGAAAUUAAUAUAUGUGUUUUUAUUUUUUAUGUAGAGAAACAAGUGGGAAUAUUAUGAAGUCAGUAGUUGACAUCUUUAAUGUGAUGUGUCUAUAUUGAAAGAAUGUUUUAUUUCUCUCCUGGAGAUUUAUUGUUCUUGAUUCUUUAUGUAUUACAUUAAAAAAGAGACUGAAAGU